rnacentral:rRNA from 1 species
GGAGGUCCCGAGCGUUAUCCGGAUUUACUGGGUGUAAAGGGAGCGUAGACGGCAUAGCAAGUCUGAAGUGAAAGCCCGUGGCUCAACCGCGGAACUGCUUUGGAAACUGUUAAGCUGGAGUACUGGAGAGGCAAGCGGAAUUCCUAGUGUAGCGGUGAAAUGCGUAGAUAUUAGGAGGAACACCAGUGGCGAAGGCGGCUUGCUGGACAGAGACUGACGUUGAGGCUCGAAAGCGUGGGGAGCAAA